CUCAGUCCUGUCUCGUCCCAUCGCCGCGGCCUGGGGGAGACUGCUUUCUGAUGCGGGAGGAGUCGCUGCCAUUCCUGAUAUCCCUCUGCAACCGGAGGCCUGACGGUGGAGCCCACUCCCACCAACUGGAGCCCCCCCCGCCCCCCCGUGCAAAAUCCUACACAGACAGAAAUCAAACGGUGUUUUUGGAGUCUCUGGCAUGGUCAGGGCACUUGGUUAGGACUGCCGAGUGAUGUUUCCGGGAAACAAUCGAGCAUGGACUGAUAGUCCCUGCAAUUUCACAAGAUGCCAUUGAGUCUUAUUGGAGCCACGCUGAAGUUUGAAGUGGAAUUAGGAAUUCAGCCGGCAGAGGGCAGGGCUGCAUUCGUUCCCAGUGCAAGCCGUGUUUCCCCGUACGAGCAUUCUGAGCAUCAAUUCUCUGCAAAUGAAUGGAUCUCAAGUUGAGUCCUCAAAAAAUGGAAGGAGUCUCAAGCUUUACCAUUCAGCGCCCAUUGAAACACCUGCACGAAAGCUCCAUCCAGAUCUACAGUUCAUAGAAAACCAAGACCUUAGCUAUAAAUGAACCACAGCCAGAUGUGAACAUCAUCUAUCCUUCUGUUCCUGAAAAACAAGGAAGACAUCAGAAAAAAAAAAACCAAAAAACCCCACUCUUUGGGUAACAGAUGUAAUGAGGAUGGUCAUGAGGGCAGCUGAGCAAACACCAGUUAGGAUCUGAUGGAUACAAACUGAAGCAGUUCUGGGAAACCUUGUCCUCUCUUCACUGCUUCAACUCAAGUGGCAUCAACCUUAGUGUAACAUCAGGGCAAGUAAAUCCUCUGCCCUCAAAAUCCUCACUUUCAAAGGCUAUUUUCUUUUACUUUAAAACGAUAAGUAAAUUGUAUUGCAAAACAUUUCUGUGUUUAAAGAAAAGUUAGAAUCACAAGUUGAACUCCAGAUUAGGAAAUGUUCAUCUUUGGGAAUUAGAAAUAAAGAGAUGUAGGAGAUUGGAGCGUACACUUCAGGACAGAGCAUCUAAUGGUAAGAUUGUUUAAUCACAGAAUCACAGAAUCCUAGGGAUUGGAAGGGACCUCUGGAGACCUAGUCCAACCCCCUUGCAAAAGCAAGUUCCCUACAGCACAGAUGCUGCCUUCAUAGAACUCUGUUCUCAAUAGGACUACCUGCGAUUAUCAUCAUGAAAUGAUCAAAAUAGGUUGAACUGUGAAAAUUAAAGGUACCAACAGAGAGUUUAUGCACGUCCGGAGGAGAAGUGAAGGAGCCCACAUGUUGUUUUUCCAUCUGAUCCCUUGCUUUCUGUAAGUGUUGCUGUACUCUUUUGAAGCGCAAAACCAUCUGAGAUGUGACGGGAUGCUGCUGAGGGAAAGUGGUCUUCAGCAAAGUUUGCGUAUUUCUUGUCCAGUUGGGAAAUGCAACUGGUUUUGAAGCUGAUUGCAUGCACCGUUUCAGCUCAGAGUCCUGGG
ensembl:lncRNA